rnacentral:tRNA from 1 species
CGAGAUUAGCAGGCCUUGAUCCUACAAAAAACUAGUUAACAACUAGUUGCCCAAGCCAGCGGGCUUUAAUCUU